rnacentral:lncRNA from 1 species
UCUAGGAUCAGGUUGUUGUUGAAUAAAUCAUUGUCUAUUUGCUGUUGGAUUUCCUGCAGCUUGUCUCUUAGUAUCCCAACUUUUUACUCUACUGAGUUAUAGGUUCUAUUCACACCCUUUGCUUUGCUUCCAAGUUUCUACAACUUUUGCCAAACUGAGUACAUUGUGCAUCCAGUAAUUCUCUGCUCCCACACAUCUUGUACCAUCUUUUUAAAUUCUUCCUCCUGCAAAAGAACUGUUAGCAGCGUGAAUGGCUUUGGGAG